rnacentral:rRNA from 1 species
AGCAGCCGCGGUAAUUCCAGCUCCAAUAGCGUAUAUUAAAGUUGUUGCAGUUAAAAAGCUCGUAGUUGAAUUUUGGAUUCUUCCAAUUGGUCCAUCUUUUAGAUGAGUACUGGUUGUGUGGGGUCUAUCCGCCUGGUGAUACGUAAUGUCCUUUAUUGGAUGUUGCGGGUAGUCAGGACCUUUACCUUGAAAAAUUAGAGUGUUUAAAGCAGGCUUAUGCCGGAAUACAUUAGCAUGGAAUAAUAGAAUAGGACGAAGUUGUUUUAUUUUGUUGGUUUCUAGGACAACCGUAAUGAUUAAUAGGGAUAGUUGGGGGCAUUAGUAUUCAAUUGUCAGAGGUGAAAUUCUUGGAUUUAUUGAAGACUAACUACUGCGAAAGCAUUUGCCAAGGAUGUUUUCAUUAAUCAAGAACGAAAGUUAGGGGAUCGAAGACGAUCAGAUACCGUCGUAGUCUUAACCAUAAACUAUGCCGACUAGGGAUCGGGCGAUGUUGUUUCCAUGACUCGCUCGGCACCUUANG